CAGCCAUCAGAUAUAUAAUGAAGAAAGUCAAUAUACCUGGUGUAUUCCGAAGCAGGAAAUGUGAAGGUGCGAGAAAAACUGAAACUGCUUACAAAUAGACACUCAGGUCAGUGGUAAUACAGGACCAAAAUUUUCCCCUCAGUCAAAUGCGCACUUCCAUUAUCCCUCUGUUGUUUCCUUACUGGGCACUGGGAGUGGAAGCUGGCUAGCAUGCCUGGGCUUGUCCCCUCACUCUGCCUACAGGGAGUUGCAGUAAUGGAGGGGCUGCUGGCAGGGCCAGUCUGAAGCUGGGAACCACCCUAUGAGAUGAGUCUACCUUGUAUUAGGGGAGAAUGGGAUACCCUACUGUGGAUGUCAGACCAGGAGUACUGGUUGUUCAGAGACUUCUUGUUCUUGUAACCCCCCCUACAUUUUCCACUCUCCUGAGAUAAACUGAUGAUUAGGACAGAACAUUCACCAAAGGAAGACAGCCCUUUUGGUACAGGUAUAUCAAUAUAAAUAGGGCCCCAUGGGGGUGUGCGCAUAAGGAGGAGAAAGUGUACAAGAGGGUUCUUGCCAUCCGAUGUGUUACGGUAAAGACUUGCACUUCCGCUGGGAUAAUGUAAAUGGAAAGACCUCCCAGAAAACACUGCUAGACUACUGGACAAGGCCGACUAAAUGUUGCUCAGCGUGACCAUCCAUACCAAAUGCUAUUUGGUAAGGCUUUUACCAUCCAUGAGUUGACUCCAGCAAUGGAAACCAAUGAUGCACAAUAAUCACUGGAGGAUCACAACCUGCUGCCCUUACAAACAAGUUCCCAGCUAACACAUACGCUAGCAUCUGUCUAAAGUCCAAAAAGGGCCCUGUCUGCAAUUUCCAAAGACUUUCUGUUUAAAAAUGGCAUAGAGCCACCCACAUGGCCUCAGCAAAGUAUAUACAGCACCUUUGAUGAGUACUGUUAGAAAUGAGCACUUCUGGCUCGUUUGUUGUGACAGUCUCAAUGUACCUCUGCCUAAUGGUUUAAAAUGUUGGGGUGCACAUAACUUUCCCUUUUUGCUAUAGUUUUUACAGGAGCACUGGCCAUUUCCAUAUUGCAGCUCCUACCCUUCCCAGCUACAGUCCCAGGGUCGGACUGGGGGGUGCAGGCAUUUUUUAUGAACCAGUUACCCUAAAACAAGUAUGCUAAAUACCAGCAAGUGGCUAUAUCUCUUUUUAAACCUUAUCCCACACAUCCCAUUAUAAAAAUACAAUGACUGAAUCACCAUAAGGUAUUCCCUUGGCCCUUGGGGACCUUUGUUGAUUACAGAACAGCAUUUUAAAGCCGGGGGCACAGAAAAGGCUACUAAAAUGUAAUGUGCAAGAAAAAAAAGGCAAUUUACUUUAGACACAGAAAAAAAAAAUAAUGUGUAUGGUCGUGGUGGAGAUUUUGUUAAAUCACUUUCUGUAUUGACCCUGUUUAUUGUUCAACUGUGCAGGCCUGCAUGUACCAGUAGUGCUACAUAAAUAAAAAUAUACAUACAUAUCAGA